rnacentral:rRNA from 1 species
GACGAACGCUGGCGGCGUGCCUAAUACAUGCAAGUCGAACGAGAGCGACCGGUGCUUGCACUGGUCAAUCUAGUGGCGAACGGGUGAGUAACACGUGGGUAACCUGCCCAUCAGAGGGGGAUAACAUUCGGAAACGGAUGCUAAAACCGCAUAGGUCUUCGAACCGCAUGGUUUGAAGAGGAAAAGAGGCGCAAGCUUCUGCUGAUGGAUGGACCCGCGGUGCAUUAGCUAGUUGGUGAGGUAACGGCUCACCAAGGCCGUGAUGCAUAGCCGACCUGAGAGGGUGAUCGGCCAAAUUGGGACUGAGAAACGGCCCAAACUCCUACGGGAGGCAGCAGUAGGGAAUCUUCCGCAAAGGACGCAAGUCUGACGGAGCAACGCCGCGUGAGUGAAGAAGGUUUUCGGAUCGUAAAACUCUGUUGUUAGAGAAGAAUAAGUGCUAGAGUAACUGUUAGCGCCUUGACGGUAUCUAACCAGAAAGCCACGGCUAACUACGUG